AUUAUUGAUUCUUACGUAAGAAGGCACUACUCAAUAAUUAUUACAGUAAUUACUGUUCAAUAUUUUAUUUUAUUGAUUCAAUAAUUGCUACGUUGAUAUUUUAUAUUACUGUUGUUUCAAUAAUUGUCACUACACAAUAUUUUCCAUUAUCGGAGUAAUAAUUCAUAUUAUCUGAAUAAUAUUAUUAGAUAACAUUAUUGGCAAUGUCUAGAAAGUUCUGUCUAAGGAGAGGUUUGGUCA
rnacentral:lncRNA from 1 species